UCGGUCGGCAUGUAAAGAGUGAGAAGCACUUGCUGCUUUGUAGCAUAAACAAACGUCCACAGCCUCAUCGCUGCUUCUUGGGUCUUCCUGCAGCUUCCUGGCUCUGCUUGGUGGGGACGGAACUCCAGGGGAGCCAGCUGGCCUUUUGGAACGUCCUUUGCAGGUCCUCGGGUGUGACUUAGGCCUCAAGCGGAGACAAUUUCAUAUAGAGUUUGAACACAGUGUUUCCUUCCAAACUUCUGAAUUUUUACAGUCUAGUGCUGCCAGACAUCCUCUUGUAUGCCUCCAAGUAGAGGAGAGGCCCUCUACUGUCUGAAGAUGCUUAAUGUAUGCAGGAGCACCCUGCACCCACCCACCUCAGUGAAGGUCAAUGGGAAUUUCUGCCAUCAACAUAUAGAAUCUAAGCGGGCUAGAAAUCCAAAAUGGCGAGGAAGGCAGGCAUGGUAUAAGGAGCAGGAAGCUGAGAAAUCACACCUCAACUGCACAAAGUGCAGAUAUUGAAUGGAUGCAUUUGAAGUCUGUACUACCCCAGUUUGUCUGUCUUCAAGGGACAGAUGUUGUCCUUGCACAGGAAGCUACCUCCCCGUGUCCCACCAGUAGGCACCUAUGGUGAUAACAAAUUUGAAACUUCCCCC